GGCAGUAGCCCCCUAUCUGACCUCCGCAUUGUAAUCUCUGCUUUACAGAGCAGAAUAACUGAGAUGAAUGUUACUCUGUUAGCGGCACUUCCUGUCUAGGUUCUCACUCUGCACCCAUCCAUGUGGUUUCUGAGCACCUGACCUGUUCAUUAAAGUGAACACGCGAGCGAGACGAUCUCUAGUCGUCUCUUCCGCGCUGCUUCUCUCCUCCCCGCUUCUGUAGAGAGGUUUAUUGGCGGGGGGGCUGGUUUCUAAAUAUCUGGGUUUGAGGAGUGGCUGGCUUACAGCAGUCGGUUUCACGCCCAUUCAGAAGGAGCUGGCUUUUGUGUCCCCUCCAGACACCAGCUCCCCAGUCGUGCACCAGUAGCCAAGGAAGCUCUGCCUUUUCUUCCCUCGAGUCUCCCGCUGAAAGUGGAACACAGCUACUGUGCAUCAACUCACACUGUCCUGGGUUCAGUUUCAGCCAGCUGCUCUUCAACCACGUGCUGAUCUGACCACGGCACUCGACUCGCAGGGAGUUGGACCUGGAGCGAAGGGGAGGAGAUGCCACUAAGCCAGCUGGGUUCGCUUGUCACUAUAGGAAGUGGAGGUGAAGUGGGACAUCCACAGCCCAAGCAGCAGAGAAUGGAGAUGUCCUCGCUGCAGAGGGUAGCGUCAGAGGAUUUCCUCCAGAGGCCCAGAGGGGAACGGGCUUACCAGCAGCCGUUGCUAAACCUGUAAAACAGGCCAGUGCACCACGAACAGGAGAGUUUGAUCUGAAAAGGGAGCUAAGACAUUUCAAACAGGACAAAGUAGCAGCUGCCCUUAAUGGUUUUAAAAAUUAAAAUAAACCUAAAAAUAAUGGAGUAUUUUUCAACUAUUAGAUUACAUCAUAUUACGACCUGUCAGGAGUAGAGGUACAUGCUACGCACCUGAUUGGAAUGGGCGUGAACAACACAUCUC